UCAUCGAGUCUUUGACGCACAUUGCGCCCAUUGGUAUUCCUUUGGGCAUGUCUGUUUGAGCGUCAUUACAACCCUCGGCUUCCGCCGGUUUUGAAUCAGAACGGGGUCACACCCGCGCUGGUUUUAAAGUUGUAAGCUCUGCCGGCCACCCUGCCCAACCAGAACAUAGUAAGCACUACUUGUUGAGGUGAAGCUAAAGUGGUUCGGCCUGAAAAACCUACUUUCUCUAAGGUUUGACCUCAGAUCAGACAAGGAUACCCGCUGAACUUAAGCAUAUCAAUAAGCGGAGGAGAAGAAACCAACAGGGAUUGCCUCAGUAACGGCGAGUGAAGCGGCAACAGCUCAAAUUUGAAAUCUGGAGUCUUUGGCUUCCGAGUUGUAAUUUGAAGAGGAUGUUUCGGUGCGACCUGGGCCUAAGUUCCUUGGAACAGGACGUCAUGGAGGGUGAGAAUCCCGUACAUGGCUGCAGGUUUGCUUCUAUGUGAAACUCCUUCGAAGAGUCGAGUUGUUUGGGAAUGCAGCUCAAAAUGGGUGGUAAAUUUCAUCUAAAGCUAAAUAUUGGCGGGAGACCGAUAGCGCACAAGUAGAGUGAUCGAAAGAUGAAAAGCACUUUGAAAAGAGAGUUAAACAGUACGUGAAAUUGUUGAAAGGGAAGCGCUUGCAAUCAGACUCGCUUUCGGUUGAUCAACCUUCCUUCUGGUUGGUGCACUCUGCCGUUGGCGGGCCAGCAUCAGUUGGGGCGGUGGGACAAAGGCAGCAGGAAUGUGGCUCGCUUCGGUGAGUGUUAUAGCCUGCUGUGCCAUGCCACCU
rnacentral:rRNA from 1 species